UACGUAGGGGGGCUAGCGUUGUCCGGAUUUAUUGGGCGUAAAGAGCGUGUAGGCGGCCAGGUAGGUCUGCUGUGAAAACUCGAGGCUCAACCUCGAGACGUCGGCGGAAACCAUCUGGCUAGAGUCCGGAAGAGGAGAGUGGAAUUCCUGGUGUAGCGGUGAAAUGCGCAGAUAUCAGGAAGAACACCCGUGGCGAAGGCGGCUCUCUGGGACGGUACUGACGCUGAGACGCGAAAAGCGUGGGGAGCGAACAGG
rnacentral:rRNA from 1 species